rnacentral:rRNA from 1 species
UAUUAUGAGAGUUUGAUCCUGGCUCAGGACGAACGCUGGCGGCGUGCCUAAUACAUGCAAGUCGAACGCUUCUUUCCUCCCGAGUGCUUGCACUCAAUUGGAAAGAGGAGUGGCGGACGGGUGAGUAACACGUGGGUAACCUACCCAUCAGAGGGGGAUAACACUUGGAAACAGGUGCUAAUACCGCAUAACAGUUUAUGCCGCAUGGCAUAAGAGUGAAAGGCGCUUUCGGGUGUCGCUGAUGGAUGGACCCGCGGUGCAUUAGCUAGUUGGUGAGGUAACGGCUCACCAAGGCCACGAUGCAUAGCCGACCUGAGAGGGUGAUCGGCCACACUGGGACUGAGACACGGCCCAGACUCCUACGGGAGGCAGCAGUAGGGAAUCUUCGGCAAUGGACGAAAGUCUGACCGAGCAACGCCGCGUGAGUGAAGAAGGUUUUCGGAUCGUAAAACUCUGUUGUUAGAGAAGAACAAGGACGUUAGUAACUGAACGUCCCCUGA